rnacentral:pre_miRNA from 1 species
CGCUCCUAGCUUUCUGAAAAAUUGUCCUCUGGGGCUGAAACUUUCUCUGUUUAGUCUAAGCCCAAAGGUGAAUUUGUUGGAAAGUUUGAGC